GCUAAAUAUCAAAGAUCAAGGAAUACUAGCACCAUCUGGCUGGGUCCGCACAAACAGGGGCAUGCCUUUGCAGCAGCACAAACAGUAGUGGCACAAAUUUGUGCCACAGUGGUAGCCCCAGCCCUCUGCUUUGCAGGGGGACACAUUGUCCCGCUGUUACAAUUGCUAUUGAGGGAGGGGGCUGGCUGGGACAUGGUGCCACACUAGGGGCUAGCUAUCCCCUGUGCUGAGGCACCCUGUGGCAAUGGGAGAACACUGGGGAGCCCUCGCACUAAGGCACACAGAGACGGGGAGCAGCCAGCCCAGAGAUCUUCCUGCUCCCCUGUCUUGAGGCACACUGAGCCCUAGCCAGUGUACAGAGGGUGCCUCAGCACGGGGCUCCACAGUGUGCAGAGAUGGAAGAGCAGGCAGCCCUGGGCUGCCUGUUGCCCCAUCUCUGCGUUCAUUCUGGUGCUCACCGCUUUGGCAUGGUUUACACCACUUUUUUUCCAGGGUUUUUUUUUUUGCUACCAGCAAAUCCCAACAGCAAAUUUUGCCCCAGCACUGCAUAUUAGCAAUGCCACACAUUGAUUAAUGUGCAACUCUUAUGGUUUGCCGCACUGCAAAAAGGUUUGCAGCAUGACAAACCCACAUGCCUGCACAUGUGGACCCAGCCUCUGUUGCCUUUUAUACAAAGGUUUUUGUCUUUACUAUCCAAUGUAGUACUUACAUUGUCCUCUUAGGGCAUAUGGAACAAGGACAUAGGAUGGUGUGUUUCUUAGGUAAAUCUACAAGAAUUUUUUUUCCAUCCCUUUUCCCCAGACCCAGCACACUGUAAUAUGCCUAUCAUUUGCAAAGGGCCUUCAGCUUCCAGCACAUGUUGAUGCUAGUUAAGAAUGGGAACAACUACUGUAAGGGAAAUAAGGAGGGAGAGGGGGGCUGUCAUCUUUAUUUUCCCUUUCCCAUCUCUUAUAUUUUAGAAGAGAAGAGCUGUGUCCAUGAAAUCUAUAACUCUUGGUCUGAGGCAAGAAGAAACAGAAUUGUUGUUCAAGAGACUAUAAACUAUGUUUUAGUACUGGUUAAUUAGCCCACUUGAUAUUUAACUAUGACAAAGCCUUGCAUCAGAGGAUGGUGCAUGGGCUUUAUCAUUGGAGGUGCAGCUAUAAGCAUACACAUGAGCAGAGAAGCCUUAAGAAAUAGGACUGCUAUUUGUAAGAAGAGGAUCCUAAGAAAUUAAUUUAUAAGACCAAAGAAAGAAGCUCCCAUGAUGCAUUAUGUUUUAUGGCUGCCAAAAAAAUAUGAAAUUGCCUCAGAUUGUUUAUCUUUUCUGUCUCCAGCAAAUAUGAUUUGGUAUUCUUUAGCUUCCCUCUCUUUGUCUUCAAAGACUCCAGUCUUGCUCUGAACUCUCGGUGCUCUUCUUUCCUGAUCAUAUGCAGAAUAUUGUCUUUCUUUUCUAAAUGAUCCUUUUGUAAGUUCUCAGAUUGCUGUAUGCAGUGCCACAGCCAAAAGAUCUGUGGGCCCCAAUUUUUGAGAUAGAUGGCUGUUUGGGAGCCCUCAGUGCUUCCUGGGCUCCCCCUUAUAAACAGGUUUUUCUUCCCCUCCUGUUUGCCCUAUCUUCUACUCACUUUCCCAUGCAUACUAUUUCUUUCUCUAAGCACAGCAGUUAUAUUUAAAUCAGUAACUAAUCAUUCUUCACUUCUAAGAUUCCCCUCUUAAUGGUAACUACUCUGUCCUGUACAGUACUGUACUACACUGGCUAGUUUGCCUUCAAAAGAUCGCUGCCACUUUGGAACUAAAAACCCUGCCUAUUGGUAUCCUUAACAUUUGCAUCUAAGGCUUUUGCAUCUCAUAGUUUCAUAGUAGCUAGGGUCAGGAGAGACCUGAACAGAUCAUCCAGCCUGACCCCCUGCCACAGGCAGGAAUGAAUGCUGGGUUCACAAGACCCCAGACAAGUGAUCAUCCACCCUUCUCUUGAAUUUGCCCAAGGUAGGGGCGAGGACCACCUCCCUGGGAAGUUGGUUCCAGAUUUUGGCCACCCUAAUUGUAACUUAUUGCCUUCUGAUCUCUAACCUAAACUUAUUGUCCAUCAGCUUAUUACCAUUUUUCUUCGUCAUUCCAGCUGAUGCUGGGGAGAAAAAGGCUCUGCCUAUUUGCUGUUGAUCCCCACCGAUGAGCUUGUAGGCAGCCAUCAGGUCCCCCCUCAGCAUCGUCUUGCUGAGGCUGAACAGGUUCAGGUCCUUCAGUCUGUCCUCGUAGGGCCUGUCCUGCUGCCCUCUCACCAAGCGGGUGGCCCUCCUCUGAACCCUCUCCAGGCUGGCCACAUCCCUUUUGAAGUGCGGCGCCCAGUACUGGAUGCAGUACUCCAACUGCGGCCUGACCAAAGUCGCAUAGAGGGGUCUGGACUGGCUUGAGAUGCACCUUUGGAUGCAUGACAAGGUAUGGCUGGCCUUGCUGGCUGCGGUCUGGCAUUGGCGGCUCAUGUUCAUCUUGGAGUCAAUAAUGACUUCAAGAUCCCUUUCCGCCUUUGUGCUUUCAAGAAAGGAACUCCCCAGCUUUUAUGUAUGCUGUGGAGUGCAGCACCCUGCAUUUGUCUACGUUGAUCCCCAUCCUAUUCUCAUCUGCUCACUUUUGUAGUCUGUCUGAAUCUAUUUUCAGCCUCUCUCUCCCUUCAAGUGUGUCCACCUCACCCAACAUCUUAGUGUCAUCAGUGAACUUGGACAGUGUGCUUUCCACCCCCUCAUCCAAGUCACUGAUGAAGAUGUUAAACAGUGCGGGCCUGAGGACCGAGCCCUGGGGUACCCCACUGCUCACAUCUCGCCAGGUUGAGUACAACCCGUCCACCACUAAUCUCUGGGUGUGCCCCAUCAGCCAAUUUUUUAACCAUCCAACUGUGUAGGCAUCAAUGCCACAGUCGCUUAAUUUACUGAUGAGGAUGGGAUGAGAGACAGUGUCAAAGGCCUUCUUAAAGUCUAGAAAGUAUGUCCACGGUGACACCAUCAUCCAAGGUUUUAGUUACCUGGUCAUAAAAAGCAAUCAGGUUGGUCAGGCAGGACCUGCCUUUGAUGAACCCAUGCUGAUUGCCCCUGAGCACGAUCUCCCCUGCAGGCCCCCCGCAGAUGUGCUCCUUGAUGAUUCUCUCCAAGAUCUUCCCGAGCACCGAGGUGAGGCUUACAGGCCUAUAAUUACUUGGGUCCUCCUUCCACCCUUUCUACUUCAGACAUUUGGUAAUAAAGUUCUGUCUUGCAUGGAGUCACUCUCCUCUCUUCCUGGUAGCUCCUAGGUAUCCUGUACUUUCUCCAGCAUGAACACAUUUUAGUGCUGCUUUCUUCUGAUCUUUGCCUUACCUGCUUUGGUUUGUUGGCAGAAUCGCUCUAGAAAUUUUCUUUUCUCUAAAGAUGUGUGUGUUUUGGGGGUGGGAAAUCUCCCUAGGGGAGAAUCUGUUUACCCUCUGGAGCCAGGUCAUGAGGCAAGAUUUGCCAGGUAGUGAAAAAUGCCCUUUAAUUUGAUCAAUUUUAAUUAGCCUGAAUAUUAUUUUAUCAGCACUAAUGAGUUCCAAAUGGGGGACUAUAAGGAUUAUCAAGGAAGACUGAUGAUCUUUCUUUCCCUCUGUGAAAUUAUUGCCUUGUCAAGGUUACAGUUGCUUGUUCACAUUUUAUUACCUAUACCUUGUAAGAAAUGCCACACAAGUAUUUGGGAUUUGUAUGAAUAAAGUGCAUAUAGUUUUCUCUAAAGAAAGCAACCAGCUUGAGGCUCCAGGUGAAGCAAGAGAGAGAGAGAGAGAGAGAGAGAGAGACCAAGGACGCUUGGAGGUCAAAACUGUGCUGAACAACACUGUUAAGCAAAACAAUAUUUAAGUUGAUUUUUUUUUCCAAAUGUUUCCACAUAUUUAUGAAUCUCUGUGAGGGUUAACUAGCUUCAUGUGAGUUGCUUCUUUGACCACUAUGUCUUGGAGCCACAAGUAGCCAGGUGGUGAACACACAUAAGCCUCAUUUUAUGAACAUCUACUUUACUAUCUGCAUGUACAGACUGCAUACCCCUUCAGGUCACACAAACAGGGGGGCGGUGCACUGCAAACACUGCCUCAUUUCUCCCUCUGGUGGUCUGAUGGAGAACAACCAACAGCAAGCAGCAAGGCCAGUAGCUCUUGAGAAGGUUAUUUUUCCUCUUACAGCAGCGAUUCCCAACUGGUGCCAUGAGAUCCUUUAAGAGGUGUUGUGCAAUACUAGCACUUUAGGUGUGCAAGCACUUACACAUGAUUCACAAGCUAAACCCAAAGAUUUAAAAAAGGAAUUGAUGGCAUCAACAAUAUUCUGACCUGUCGUAGUCUUACUGAGAUCUUUAUAACAGAAGAAUUGUUCUGAUUAUUUUCCAUAGUCAAAAAAUCAAGUUAAUACUAGGAACUGGCAUUUUCAGAGGGGUGCCAUGAGCCUAAUGAGAUUGCAAACCACUGUUCUAGAGGGUAGUAAAAACUUUUAUUUUAACUGAAACAAACUUAUGAGGAACUUGCAGCUCUACUCAUAACGAAGUAGGAACAAAAGUUGGUAUCAGAAUAAACUAUGAAACUCAAUACGUAUGCUAGCAGAUCCUGAGAUAUGGGUAUUUGAGGUCCACAAAUUAUUCUCUUACAAUUAUGAUGACAAUAUUCAGCUGCUUGGAGGAUCCCAACAGGUCUUGUGAUCCCUGAUAGCUAGAAGUGCAACACUAGUGCAGUGAGUAGAGAACAGAGCAAUCAGCGUGGCUCCCAUUUUGCCAUGACACUGCAUGUGCGUGGAGAUUUAUCCUGUUUGCUCCUCCCUAGGCAGGUGGUGAUUCCCCUCUUCACAGGACAGCCAAUACCAUCAUCAAAGCUGGAGAAUGCUAGGGAGGAACUGAAUAAAACCCUGUAAGUUUUAAGACUUUUCUGCAGGAGAAGUCCUUCAUUGUGGGGAGCACAAUCACCCUGCUGGAUUUGAUGUCUAUUGUAGAGUGUCACAACCCAAUUAAGUAGUGCCCAUGUCGCAAGCAAGUAAAAAAACCAUUCAAAACAGUUUUUUUUUACACUAAGUUAACUAAGGGUUAACAAAAGUUUUUGCCAGUAACUGCCUUUUUGCUGCGCAUGUCAAAAAGAAAUUUAUUGCUGCGCCACUAACAGAGGUAGAACUUAGCCUUCUGUGCUGUACAUAAAUCAUUAUAAUUGGUCAAAGAAAACAAGGAGUAACCCUAUGAUAAUACCCAAGCGAAGACCACUAGAUAAUUGGCGAUUCUAAUUACAUUUAUGACGUGGCGAAAACCAAUUGGCUAUUAUACAAACAAAACCCGUCUUCACUUCCGUGAAGAAGGGGGACCUCCGUACGAACCUUGGAGACCUCUGAUCACAUGUAUCAGAGUAACUGACAACUUGAUCGCUUGCCAGUGGCCCCCUCGCGUCUUGACCUAAUCUCAGAUGUAAAUCAACGACCUGCCGGCCCAACCUUUUCUCUGCCCGACCACCAAACUCUUAUGCAGACUGACCUAUGACCUAUAAACUGUAACUAACCAAGUAUCUCUGACCUCUGCUAUUCACCACCUUGACGGCAAUCUGAAUCCUAACGAGUAAGUGAACCUCAACAGAACAUUGGUGCUUGGAAUUACAAUAAAAGCCCACCCUGAGAAGCAGGAGAGGUCACAGUGGGCUUUCUUCCUACAGGGAAUCUUCUUCCUGCUCCCAGCCUGCUAAAUACCAGCCAGGAACUUCAUCAGGUGACAGGUACACCACUUAAAGUGAAGGGUUUGCACCUCUUCUCAGCACUGGAGUACCAACCACAGAGCAGCCUGCACCUUUCUUCCAGAUGUUUCAAGGGAGUACUGCUUCCCUUCAGAGGAAGUGUCAUCCCGCAAGUCGAAUUUUGACAGGGAAAGGAAAACAACUGACUCUGUAAUUCUGAUUUUGAAUGGACAAGGCAGUUACAUACCUUCUUACUGACCAUGUGUUAAUACAAGGGAGAACUGCUAUAACCACUGAACCAAAUUUUCUGCCUUUGUAACUGUAAUAUGAAUAAAUCUGAAUGUAACUGU